ensembl:lncRNA
GGGAGGGGCUCUACGCAGUGUUUGCCAGCACAGAUUGUCUACGGUGUUUUGAGUGUGCGGAUUUGGGACAUAAGAGCUUUGCGUGUCCACAUAAACGCCGUAGACAAGGUGAGGGUACAGGGCUAGGUCUAGUCAGACUAUGGAUGGUGGUGUAGAUGAGGCUGGGUCUAGUCAGGCUAGAGAUGGUGGGGUAGAUGAGGCUGGGUCUAGUCAGGUUAUAGAUGGUGGUGUAGAUGAGGCUGGGUCUAGUCAGGUUACGGAGGGUGGUGUAGAUGAGGCUGGGUCUAGUCAGGUUAUAGAUGGUGGGGUAGAUGAGGCUGGGUCUAGUCAGGUUAUAGAUGGUGGUGUAGAGGAGGCUGGGUCUAGUCAGGUUAUAGAUGGUGGUGUAGAUGAGACUGGGUCUAGUCAGGUUAUAGAUGGUGGUGUAGAUGAGGCUGGGUCUAGUAGACUGUAGAUAGUGGGGUAGAUGAGGCUGGGUCUAGUCAGGUUAUGGAUAGUGGUGUAGAUGAGGCUGGGUCUAGUCAUGCUAUGGAGGGUGGUGUAGAUGAGGCUGGGUCUAGUCAUGCUAUGGAGGGUGGUGUAGAUGAGGCUGGGUCUAGUCAGGUUAUGGAGGGUGGUGUAGAUGAGGCUGGGUCUAGUCAGGUUAUAGCUGGUGGUGUAGAUGAUGCUGGGUCUAGUCAGGUUAGAGAUGGUGAUGUAGAUGAGGCUGGGUCUAGUCAUGUUAUAGAUGGUGGUGUAGAUGAGGCUGGGUCUAGUCAG